UACGUAGGUGUCGAGCGUUGUCCGGAUUUAUUGGGCGUAAAGAGCCCGCAGGCGGCUUGGCAAGUUUGAGGUGAAAUCUCCCGGCUUAACUGGGAGGGGGCCUCGAAAACUGCCAGGCUUGAGGCAUGGAGAGGGAUGCGGAAUUCCCGGUGUGAGUGGUGAAAGUGCGUAGAUAUCGGGAGGAACACCAGUGGCGAAGGCGGCUAUCUGGGC
rnacentral:rRNA from 1 species